UACGUAGGGUGCAAGCGUUAAUCGGAAUUACUGGGCGUAAAGCGUGCGCAGGCGGUUAUGUAAGACAGAUGUGAAAUGCCCGGGCUUAACCUGGGAACUGCAUUUGUGACUGCAUGGCUAGAGUUUGGCAGAGGGGGGUAGAAUCCACGUGUAGCAGUGAAAUGCGUAGAUAUGGUGGAGGAACACCGAUGGCGAAGGCAGCCCCCUGGGUCAAGACUGGACGCUCAUGGCACGAAAGCGUGGGGAGCAAACGAAGG
rnacentral:rRNA from 1 species